AUUCGUGACUAAAAAAAUAAAAAGCAAACAAAUUAGGAAUACAAGGAUCAAUCAUCAUUCUUAAUGGUGCAAUUUUAUAGCAUUCCCAAGACUGGGAACUUGUCAAGGAUGCCUGCUUGCCUGCUACCAGUUUAUUGGUCAUCAUACUGGAGCUAGCCCACAUAGUUAAUAAAGAAAUUAAAGAUGUUAGGAUUUAAGUGAUAAAACUCAUCCAUAGAUGAUUGAUUAUCUACAUGGAACAUCCAAAAGAACCGCAUACAUAUUCAUGUUUGUUUGUUUGUUUGUUUUAGACAGGUUCUCGCUCUGUUGCCCAGGCUGCAACAGAGGUACAAGAUGUUGCUGACAGUGGUACAAACAUGGCCUCACUGCAGUCUUGAUCUCUUGGGCUCAAGCGAUUCUUCUGCCUCAGCCUCAGAGUGCCUGGGAUCACAGGGGGAAGAUGGUCCUUUGGCUGUGAUGAUGUGGCCCCGAUUGCAGAAUUGAGUUGGAGGCUGAAGAUGUGAGCUCUGAUCCUUACCAGUUCUGGCUAAUGGAUCAGAAAAUCUCCAAGAAGGCCAAGAGAGCUGUCAAAUGAAGUGCGCUGUAGCUCAAGACCAGAGAGAAGGGCCUUGGAGAAGGGAUCCAGGGACUAUAGAUCAGUAGCCAAAACUUGGAUAAUGAG